CACCGAAUACAGCUGGUGCAGAGCCAUCGCUGGCGGCACAGGCAUCGCCGUCAUAGCUCUAUUACUCUCCCGAACCCCAAAGCUCGAGAAUCUCCAAAACACCCUCGACAAACUCCAGAUUCACCAUCCCACCCUCCGCUCCACCUUCCGCUACGACGCGUCCACCAGCUCCUUCUCCCUCGCAACCUCCGCCUCCUCCCGCGUCGUAAUCCACCCCUUCGAUUCAUCAUCAACGGCGCAGAUCAUCCGAGACAGCGACGAUCCCUGCGCGGAACCGCACAGGAUCAUUCUAGAGCACGAGCUGAACAAGAACACGUGGAUCGAUCCGCACCGUUGGAGUAACGGCGAGUGCGGCGUCUUCUUCGUCAGCCUCUACGAUCUGAGCGGCGGCGAGGAGAGAGUGCUGACGUUUCGGCUGAACACCGGGGCGUGCGAUCGGACUUCGGCGGUUACGCUUCUGAGGGAGUUUAUGAGAGAGACGACGGUUGCGGAGGGUGAUGGAUGUUGCGACGGACACGUGGCGAAGGAGGCGGGGUUAGGUAAGGCGAUAGAGGAGAUGAUUCCGAGUGGGAAAGGGGAUAAACCGUUUUGGGCGCGUGGGAUCGACGUGCUGGGUUACUCGCUGAAUGCGUUCCGGUUCUCGAAUUUGAGUUUCGUGGACGCUGAGGAAUCGAACCGGAGAUCUCAGGUGGUAAGGAUGAAACUGGAAAGAGAUCAGACUCUCAAACUUGUGGCUGUAAGUGUCUCUCCUUAUUCAACCAACUUCUCUAUAGUUGCGUCCGCAGAUUUGCUUACUAUUAUUGCGUAUUAAGAGCAUUUAGUAUUAAUUUAUUUAAAUAUUGAAUAUUAUUAUCAAAAUGAUAAUCUUUUCUGAUAUAUGAACACUUAUCUCUGCAAUGAGUUACGACACAUUUAUAACAUGCUCAACAUGACAAAAUAUAAAAUGUUCGAUGCUCGAGCAAGGCACAUGAGACAGAGAGAUCAACAAUGUAACACACACACAAACAACAACAGCUUAUUGUCAUACUUGAGGUAUUCUAAAAUACCUCUUUUUCUUUUUGUUCAAUAAAAAAAUAAUUCGGGAAAUGCAAAAUCAAUUGCUAAACCGGUAAAACAGUAAACCGGAAUAAAGGAAAAGGUACGUCACUGUAUCUUCCCCAUAUUAGCCAACAAACUCACCAAAGAAACAAAACAAAAUCACUUUAGAAUCCCCAAAAAAAAAAAACUGAAAACACAAUCUCUCUCUCUCUCACUUCUACAAUGAGUGAUCCGAACCGUGUACCCGAAUCCAUAACCCGACCCGUUGGAGGCACCGAAUACAGCUGGUGCAGAGCCAUCGCUGGCGGCACAGGCAUCGCCGUCAUAGCUCUAUUACUCUCCCGAACCCCAAAGCUCGAGAAUCUCCAAAACACCCUCGACAAACUCCAGAUUCACCAUCCCACCCUCCGCUCCACCUUCCGCUACGACGCGUCCACCAGCUCCUUCUCCCUCGCAACCUCCGCCUCCUCCCGCGUCGUAAUCCACCCCUUCGAUUCAUCAUCAACGGCGCAGAUCAUCCGAGACAGCGACGAUCCCUGCGCGGAACCGCACAGGAUCAUUCUAGAGCACGAGCUGAACAAGAACACGUGGAUCGAUCCGCACCGUUGGAGUAACGGCGAGUGCGGCGU
rnacentral:lncRNA from 1 species